UUUCAGUAAAAUUACCAUAUUCAUCGGUUCCAACUUGGGCAAUUCCUUCAUCGGCAAUCUUUAACUUCAAAUAAUCACGCAUCAUUCUCAUAGUCAUCAUACGCAUUGUAAGUAUAAGACAACAAAAGAGAAUGAACAUUGGACAUUAUAACGCAUGGGGGAGAGGGAUCAGCAUUUCACCUUCAAAGAAAAAGGAAUUCCAAAAUGUAAGCGAACUUUCAUAAUUCUUUACUUUUUUAUUAACUAGCUUUUACCAAUAUCAACAUUUGACAAGGGACGCUAUAAGUCACAAUCUUAAUUAAAGAGAACACAAUGGCAACACCCCUUAAUUACAUGGUCUGGCUCCAAAACAGAUUAGAGUUGCCUGUAUUAUGUACACUACAGCCUGAAUGCACAUCUUUUAUGUGCAACAGAAAGCACAGUCCAAAAUUGCAGCUAGUUUGUCACAAAGUACCAAAGCUGCAACCUACAUGUUCCUGAGUUAUGACGCGAAGUCGAUCUUGCAUGAUGGACAUGGAAGGAUAAGCUGGGAAACACAACCUGUAGAAGCAUGUGUGAGAAGAUGGUAGCCGAUUGGAUGACUCAGACGACUUAUAGAUGUAAAGGCGAGAACCCAGACCACCAAAACCUUCAACCGGUAGAUAUUUUAUUGAGGUCCAGAAGAAGAGGAGAACCUUUUUCUGCUCUUUUGACAUGCGCCCUACGAUCUGGAAGGGUAAAAUUUAGUCAAAUUAGAAGGAUAGGAUUCAUACAACUCCAAGCACAACAAAAAUUUAGGCACUUCAUCCAUAUUGGGGAACUUCAGUGAAUCCAUAUUGCAGUGCUUCAAAAGUUCUAGAACACAUUUCUAUCCUGACUCUGAAAUUCUAGAAGAGCAUGCAUAUACCAAAUAGUCCAAAUGAUGAAGAAAUUGUUCAUGAGAUGUCUGACAAAGAAUUGCCUCAUCUCGGAAAUCAUGAAAACGAUGGCUCAUCAGCUAAUGUUACAAUAAAAUAGAUGUAAUCAGCAACAUGGACAGUUAUAUGCCAUAGGAAGACACCGAAGAAAAUUAAUACUUCCUUUUUUCAUCUAAAAAUAUUUUAAGAAAAUAUGGAAAGCAGCUCAAAAAGCACAAGGUUAGUUAUAACUUCUAAAGAAACUAUGUCUUUUCCAACUUAAUUUUGAAAGAGGAGAUAUCUCCUUUCAAAUAUGUAGGCCUAAAUUGCAAGACCAUGUUUGAUAUACUCGACUAGAUAGAAUUGAACAUGAUUAGCAAGAGCGGCAUGUAAUAAAAUUUGUCAAUUGUCUCCAUCCAGUAUUGUCCUGUAAAUUUUCUUUUACAAAAAAACUAUGUAUCAACUAGUUUUUAUAUGAAUCCUCUCUACCAUGAACAUCAAAAGGAGCAUAUUUGGGUAAGUUUAAAAAGUUUACAAGUUCACUUACAGGUAAAUAAGCAAUUUUAGUUUUUUGAGGGUGCAUGUUUGGACAAACUGUACUUGCAAGUAUUUCUAUGUUCAUUCCUGUUUCUUUUCUCUGUUACUUCAUCGUCAAAUUUCAAAAGCAGGUAGAUGAUUCCAUAUCACAUUUUCUCGACAAAACAACAAAUUGAUUGUUUAAAGCCUCCCAGUUACAAAAUAGUUCCCCCCUACUAAAAUUUCAUUCUAUAACUCGAGCUUAACAUGUCUAUAAUUUGUACAGCCUUGAAUCCUCCCCCCCCCCCCCCCCCCCCCCCCCCACCCCUCUCUAACAUUUUUAAUUCCUUCAUUAAGCAUCUGUUAACACUUUAAGCUAUUAUAUAAUUCCAUCAAACAUAAAUACCUACCUCACCUAGAAUAAGAUUCCAUAUGGUCCAAUUGCUUUUCUAGUCUUCAUCCUCCUAGUGCAAUAUUAAGACAGAUUUAUUUCCUAGAGUUAGUAGGAUUUUAAUGUUCCCCAAUAUCUACAAUAUGCCAACUGAUAGUCUAGUCCUCCUCAAUAGUCUAUAAAUGAUUCCAUCCUUUUCCUGUUGUUACUAAAUAAAAUUAUUUGACUUUCAUCCUUAUGCACACAACUUCCCACACGCUUAAACAUGGGACUCUCAAAUAUCACACCUCUUGCAACAUUUUGCACCAUCUGUUUCUAUGAUCCAAGUUCCUACUCUAAUUCUAUUAUCUUCGACUAACUUUACUCACAUUCACAAGUGCCUCACUUGAUGUGCUAUGCAAUUUCUUAUAAUCUAAUAUUUACUCUCAUUAUCUAAAUUUCCCAUAUCCGAUGGCACUUGAAUGAAAUACUUAGCAAAGCAAUUGUUCAAAGCAACAUUUACCAGCUAAAGACAACUUAUAGACCUACAGAACUAAAUGUUAUUCUUGUUUCGAUAAUAGAAGGGGGGCAAUUAUUGUUGAGGUAAAUAAGAUGGUCAAAUAAAAAAAAUGUCCUGCAACAAUAGCUAGACCAAAAAUGCAAAUGACAAUCGAGAACAACAACUAUCAAUUUUACUUCUUACCUAAACACAUCAUACUAUAAAUUCUACAUAUAACAUGAAAAUCAGUAUGCAAUUAGUUUGGCAUAACUAGAGUUAGUAGGAUUUUAAUGUUCCCCAAUAUCUACGAUAUGCCAACUGAUAGUCUAGUCCUCCUCAAUAGUCUAUAAAUAAUUCCAUCCUUUUCCUGUUGGUACUAAAUAAAAUUAUUUGGCUUUCAUCCUUAUGCACUCAACUUCUCACACGCUUAAACAGGGGACUCUCAAAUAUCACAUCUCUUGCAACAUUUUGCACCAUCUGUUUCUAUGAUCCAAGUUCCUACUCUAAUUCUAUUUUCUUCGACUAAUUUUACUCACAUUCACGUGUGUCGGAACCUCACUUGAUGUGCUAUGCAAUUUUUUAUAAUCUAAUAUUUACUCUCAUUAUCUAAAUUUCCCAUGUCCGAUGGCACUUGAAUGAAAUACUUAGCAAAGCAAUUGUUCAAAGCAACAUUUACCAGAUAAAGACAAUUUCUAGACCUACAGAACUAAAUGUUAUUCUUGUUUCAAUGAUAGAAGGGGGGCAAAUAUUGUUGAGGUAAAUAAGAUUGUUAAAUAAAAAACAUGUCCUGCAACAAUAGCUAGACCAAAAAUGCAAAUGACAAUCGAAAGAAACUAUCAAUUUUACUUCUUACCUAAACACAUAAUACUAUAAAUUCUACAUAUAACAUGAAGAUCAGUAUGCAAU
rnacentral:lncRNA from 1 species